rnacentral:rRNA from 1 species
UACGGAGGGGACUAGCGUUGUUCGGAAUUACUAGGCGUAAAGCGCACGUAGGCGGAUUUGUUAGUCAGGGGUGAAAUCCCGAGGCUCAACCUCGGAACUGCCUUUGAUACUGCAAAUCUCGAGUCCGGAAGAGGUGAGUGGAAUUCCUAGUGUAGAGGUGAAAUUCGUAGAUAUUAGGAAGAACACCAGUGGCGAAGGCGGCUCACUGGUCCGGUACUGACGCUGAGGUGCGAAAGCGUGGGGAGCAAACAGG